rnacentral:lncRNA from 1 species
UCCACCACUUCCCUGGGCAACCCGUCCCAAUGCCUGACUGCUCUUUCUGAGAAGAGAUGUCUCCUCAUUUCCAACCUCAAACCUCGCCUGGCACGACUUGAGGCCAUUCCCUCUAGUCCUAUCACUGGUUACCUGUGAGAAGAGGCCGACCCCCAGCUCUCCUCGUAGGGCCCUAUGGUGAGACUUUUGUUCAGAGCCCCUGUCUGGAGCAAAAGGGCUGCUGGGGAAGCUCUGACAUCUUCAGGAGGGAAGCUGCGCUUUUUACUUCAACUCUUUUUACUUGAACUUACUCGAGGCAGCGGUAAAAGCUGCUGAUAAUUGUUAUUGUGAAAAUAAUGGGUACAGCAACCACUGCUUUCUCAUCUUUCUGGUUUAAAGGCAGAUUUGCCCCAUCCCUGGAGGUGUUCAAGGCCAGGCUGGCCAACCUGAUCAAGUGGAUGGCAUCCCUGUCUAUGGUGGGGAGUUGGAGUUGGAUGAUCCCUUCCAACCUAAACCAUUCUAUGAUUCUAUGAUUUAUCGACUUAACUGGGCUGUAUUCUAAACAGUUAUGGUAUGGUGGGUGUUGCUGGUUGGGACAGGGCUCAUAAUCUUGAAGGGUGCUUGAAAACUGAGUGGGGAAACUGGUGAAAAGGCAGUGCAAGACAGGAGGAAGAGGUGUUGUGUGCAACGUGGGAUGUGGAGAUGCCUGGCCUGUCCCCUGGGGCUCUCCCUUGCUGCUGUUUGCUGAGCGCAUAUUACCAUGUGCUGCGCAAGGCCAGGGAGAAAGCAGCAGAAGUAGGAGGUGUUGCUACAGAGAUAUGCAGAAGACUGGGCACAGAAAUAUGCAGGAAAAGUUUCGAAAGACCACAGUUGAAAAGCAGCUUCAAGAAACGUAUUCGGGACUUACCCUCCCUUGUCUAUUAGUAAACCUUCCAAAUAUUAUCCUUGGCGGAUUUUUUUAGCGUGUGUGCCGGCAGGGGGCAGCGCGGCCCCACGGACGGCGCCGUGCCCCGGAGCACGCCGAAGGGAGCGGAGCCGAGCUGCUGUGCCUGCGGGUCCUCUCUUCUCCAGUCGCUGCCUUCCCUGGGUCUUUGUUACCUUAAAGUCCGCUUUCGGUGGAGCAAAGCAUUAAUUGUUUAACUACUCAACGGUAAACACCUCGUAGUCUCAACGGUUUUUACUUAUUACCUCCUUUCUUUGCUUCUGCA